CUUCACCUUCACAGAUCAGCACUCAGCACAGACCUGACACUAUGAAGUUGUUGCUAAACUGGGUUUUUCUAGUAACACUUUUAAAUGGUAUUCAGUGUGAGGUGAAGCUGGCGGUACAUGGAGGAGGUUUGGUGGAGCCUGGGGCUUCUCUCAGACUCUCCUGUGUAGCUUCUGGAUUCACCUUGGGUGAUUACUACAUGGAGUGGGUUCGACAGGCUCCAGGGAAAGGACUGGAGUGGAUUGCAGCAACUAGAAACAGAGCUAAAGAUUAUUCAGCAGAGUACAGUGCAUCUGUGAAUGGACGAUUCACCAUCUCAAGGGAUGUUUCCCAAAACAUCCUCUACCUUCAUAUGAACAACCUGAAAACUGAGGACACUGGCAUUUAUUACUGCGCAAGAGAUGCACACAGUGAGGAGACUUGA